UGUGAAUUAACUUUUCAUACAUAACUUUAAAUGGGUAGUGGAGAUAAACAUUGCCAAGCAAAAAUCUCAUUAGCAGCUAAUAUCAGGACAUGUUCAAUUGUUCAUUGCCAAAGUCAUGGCACCAGAAGCUGCUUGAUUGAAUGAAAGUGUAAAUUAGAAUGGCUGUACAUGCAGGAAAAAGAAGAACUGAGAAAAAGACUCGAGGAAUUAAUCUUGGAGGCCAAACAGGAAACAACUCAUCACUCUCUCUCUCUCUCUUUCUG
rnacentral:misc_RNA from 1 species